CUCGAGGACCCGUCAGCAACUAUAUAUGCCAGAGAUAGUCUUCUCAACUCGGCUGACUCCAGUUCAAUAGCCCUGAAACUCGGUUACCAUGGACACGGGUAACGCUUCAAUGGCAAGCUUAGCCUCACAAAUAUGCAACCAUAUAGCCUCCAUCUUCUCCAAACCCAGUAUCCACCCACCAGCUUUGGACCUAAUGGUAGCAGAAUUGGCCUCCAUAGCGUCCCAAAAGGGUCGCGUUUUUCUCUAUGGUGUAGGCCGAGAGGGUUUAAUGUUGAAGGCCCUCUGUAUGCGCCUUGCUCAUUUGGGUCUCUCUGCUCACUUCGUCUUCGACAUGACUACUCCACCAAUUACUUCCAAAGACCUUCUCGUAGCAUCAGCUGGCCCUGGAGGGUUCUCCACUGUCGAUGCUAUUUGCUCGGUGGCACGGUCCCAUGGUGGUAGAGUUUUGUUGCUGACUGCCCAGCCUGAAACGGGAUCCAGUGUGAGGCAUGCAAAUGUGGUAGCGUAUGUUGCAGCCCAGACUAUGGCUGAUGAUGGCGGUGGGGAGAAAUCAAGGACAUUGCUGCCUAUGGGGAGUGUCUAUGAGGGGGCCAUGUUUGUGUUGUUUGAGAUGGUGGUUUACAAAUUGGGUGAGGUUUUGGGAGAGAGUCCUGAGGCCAUCCGAGCUCGACAUACCAAUCUUGAGUGACAAAAUCCCUGAUGUUACCAGCUCUGUGAGGAUGAGGAGUUUCAGUCUCAGGAAUUUCAUUCAUUUUCCCUCCUUAGGCUACAAAUACCAUAGCCGUGGAUUUGCUUCUCUGGAAUAGGCUGUUUUACAAAGUCAGAUUUUGCUUUGAAGAAAGAUUUCGAAAGAGCAGACUUGUGAUUCCUACCAAGUAAAGUUUCCAAUGGUGCACCGAUUGGAAACUGUUCAAAGUAUGGAUCAGAUUCAGCCCAACUCAUUUCCAAGCAAUCUUCUUUCGUUAGUCCAAGUUGAGGGAAUUUCUCUUCCAUCAAUUGAAGAAGCUUGUCGGUGCCUCCAAGAAACAUGGAACUAAAACGUGCUUGAAUUGUCAUCUUAUCAUCAUCUUUACUUGAUUUCACCCUUUCUCAUGUGGAUGCUCAUGUGUAUUUCUUUAGGAAACUUGUGUGCAACAUACUGCCACUGAUGAAUUAGUUGCGUUUUGAUCCAACAUUCUGUGAACUCUGAAAACGGUGACAUUAGCUGGAACUGGCACCGAGUUUGUUUUCCAAGCUAAGACUGCCCCAAAGCUACCUCCACCACCUCCUCGAAUGGCCCAAAACAUAUCUUCUCCCAUGGAUUUUUAUCAAGAAUUCUUCCAUUAACAUCAAUUGAGCUGUUUCGGGUUUGAGUGGAUUUACGCUCGCAGGUAUAUUUAGUCAAACAGCAUGGUAGUUGUUUGAAGAGAUUCGAUAUUGUUGUUGAGACUUGAAAAUUAGAAUAGAGUUAGCGAGGGGAUGUUGCAAGCUUGUUGUAUUAGAUAUCUCCUUUGAUCCAAUUGGAGAACCGCUAGCAAAUGUCACAAUCUGUACUUAGCUGUUGGCUAUUGCAGCUGAAAUCAUACAAAACGUAAAUAGUAACACCAGGUACUCAAAUGUUUUUGAUUCUA